CUUUACUGUAGCUUGGUAUUGGGUUCGGGCUUUGACUGCGCAGGAUAGGUGGGAGACUGAGAAGUGUGCCUUGUGGGGCACAUAGAGUCAACGGUGAGAUACCACUCUGUCAGAGCUAGAAUUCUAACCUUCACCCGCGAUCCGGGGAAGGAACCGUAUCAGGUGGGCAGUCUGACUGGGGCGGUCGCCUCCUAAAAGGUAACGGAGGCGCGCAAAGGUGUUCUCAGGCUGGUUGGAAAUCAGCCGUAGAGUGUAAAGGCAGAAGAACGCUUGACUGUGAGAGUGACAACUCAAGCAGGGUGGAAACACGGCCUUAGUGAUCCGACGGUAUGCGCGUGGAAGUGCCGUCGCUCAACGGAUAAAAGUUA
rnacentral:rRNA from 1 species